rnacentral:rRNA from 1 species
UACAGAGGGGGCAAGCGUUGUUCGGAAUUACUGGGCGUAAAGGGCGCGUAGGCGGCCUGCUAAGUCGAACGUGAAAUCCCUCAGCUUAACUGGGGAACUGCGUCUGAUACUGGAUGGCUUGGAUUCGGGAGAGGAAUGCGGAAUUCCACGUGUAGCAGUGAAAUGCGUAGAGAUGUGGAGGAACACCGAUGGCGAAGGCAGCCUCCUGGGCCAGCACUGACGCUCAUGCACGAAAGCGUGGGGAGCAAACAGG